GCAAGUAUUUUCCUUGCUUAGAUGACAUCAGAAAACAAAAGGAUUAAUUAGUCACCUGCUGUUCAGGAAUGAAUGCGUUAAUAAGGAAUAUGAAGUGCUGAUAAUGCUUACAGAAAUAUGGCAUAGCAGAGAAAUCAGAAAUGAAGUCCAAAGAAUGUUAAUUUCCAGUCAUGAACCGCAGGAGCAAGAGACAAACCACGCCAACAACAAGUGAAACCAAAAGAACUGAGGAUAAAGCACAGUAUAGUUAAUUUCUAAUCAUAUUGCUAUUUAAACCUUUUAAUUGGAGAUUUGCCAUGGCUAUUUUCUUUUUGACAUUUGAUAAAAAACAUGGUUUGUGGCAUACACCUAUUGUUAAUCGUGCAGGCAGACUAUGAGUCCGGCAUUUUGAAUGCCAUUGAGGAGAUAUUGUGAAAUGUACGGCUACUUCUUGAGGAAUAAACCUGUCAAUCCUUUA